rnacentral:misc_RNA from 1 species
UGUCGACGCGGGUCCACCAGCGCCGAAGCCAUCACGCUGCAGGACGAU